rnacentral:tRNA from 1 species
GCACCUGUGGCUCAAAGGAGUAGGGUGCUGGCCCCAUAUGCCAGAGCUGGCUGGUUCAAAUCCAGCCUUGGCCA